AAUUGGAAUUUCAUAUCAAACAACCCAAAAACUGCCAAAUUCAAGGGAAAAAGUGAAGAAUUUCCGCAAAAUUUUAUUUUUCUUUAAGAACGGACCGUGAGAAAAUCCGUGUUCACCUGUCGCUGUAUCACAAACCUACGUGCCGUGUAUCGAUUAACAAUCAAAAACCUGACUCAAAGAACUUUCCGAGGGAGUAGCGGCAACGUCGGCGACGCAAAUCGACGUAAAUGUGGUGCAAAAGUCGCAAAAGUGCCAAAGAAACCGCAAAAUCGGAAACAUGGAAGAAGAUUCAGUAAUGUCCGAGAUUUCAAUACGAUCCAUAACUACACAAAAUAGAAGGAACAAAAAAGAAAGCAGCAGCGAACGAAUAGGAUCGCAUCGAGAUCGCAGUACGAGACACUCGCAUCGCAGCAGUCGCCGAAAUCACAUGAAAAAUCCGGAUAUGGCGCCGUUUCAGACUUCGGUGAACAUCGGGGAAGAUGGCGCACAGGAGUUAAUUGAAGUACAAAUCCUUCCGCAGGACCAAACAUGGGGCGAGAACACGACAGUUGUCACGGGAAACACUUCCGAUCAAAGUAUUUCGAUGGAAGACAUCAGUACGUGGCCCAUUGGAGGCGAACAAAAGAUGGGAUUUACAUGUUCGCGAUAUAUGGAACGAAUUUUCUCCCUACUUUUGUGUCUCGUCGCAUUUGUAAGUCCCUUGACGAUGGUAAUUUUACCGAAAUUGGGCUUUUUUUCAUCGACUUUUGACAAUCAAGACCUUACGCCGCUCGUUCGGAUACAACUUCUUGCUUGCAAUGCCGAAUGCAAAGGACUUUUAGUGUCACUCGCGGCGAGAAUGUUACUUUUAGCCCUUGGAUUGUGGGCUUUGUACUUCAGAGCGCCUGUCGCAACGAUGCCAAGGAUAUUUUUAUUCCGUUCCAUCGUCAUUUUGCUCGUGCUGAUAUCGACUUUCGCCUAUUGGCUCUUCUAUAUAGUUCAAAUUACGGAAGGAACCAAAGCUAUUGUCGAAGGAAGUGAAAUUGUGAAUUACAAAACGGUCGUUUCUUAUGCAAUUUCCUUCGCGGAUACACUUUUGUUCAUCCAUUACAUCGGAGUUGUGUUGCUGGAGAUUAAACAUUUGCAGCCAACGUUUUAUAUCAAAGUUAUUCGAAGUCCCGAUGGCGAAUCCAGAAGUUUUAGUAUUGGUCAGUUGUCGAUUCAACGAGCUGCGGUUUAUGUUUUGCAGAAAUAUUACGCGGAAUUUCCCAUUUUUAACCCUUAUUUGGAGCGUUUGCCUGUUUCAAAGUCCCAACGGAAGGCGGCGAUGUCGAGUUUCAAGUAUUACGAAGUUGAUGGCAUCAAUAAUUCGCAGCAGCAGAGUCAAAGUAGGGCAGUUUUGGCGGCCCAUGCGCGGCGUAGAGACUCUUCGCAUAACGAACGCUUCUACGAUGAGCAUGAAUACGAAAGGAGAGUGAAAAAACGUCGUGCUCGCUUGGUAACUGCUGCGGAAGAGGCCUUUACGCACAUUAAACGCGUUCAAAACGAACCCACAAAUAAUAUUUUGGACCCGCAUGAAGCUGCGCAAGCUGUUUUCCCAUCAAUGGCACGCGCUUUACAGAAAUAUCUGAGAGUUACGCGACAACAACCCCGUCACACCGUCGAAUCCAUCUUAAAACAUCUCGCGUACUGCCUUAAAAACGAUUUGUCGCCAAAAGCAUUCCUCGAGCCGUACACUUGUGAGACGCCCGUGUUGCAAAGCGAGAAAGAACGCGAUCGUUCGAUCCAAUCUUGGUCCCUGAUUUGCGAAGAACUGCUUUCGAGACCCAUUUCGACGGGAUGCAGCUUCCAAUUGAUACAAAAUGACGUCUCGUUGACGGUUUUCGUGCAUCGUCUUCCGCAUUUUAACAUCGCAGAGGAAGUUGUUGAUCCAAAAUGCAAUAAAUUCAUGCUGAAGCUGAACUCGGAGACGAGUGUGUGACAAAAACAGACACCCGCACAAGAAUUCUACGAUAAUGAAUAUGAAUAUGAUUAAAGUGACGUGAGUGAGAAAAAAAAUUAACGGAAAGUAGUGAAGAACAAAGGAAAUUUCGGUGUUGACCACCUCCGAGAAAGACAUAAAUCAAAACUGUAGUUAAUUAACGGGUCGAGUCUCUUUGAAUUUUAGGCCAAAGCAAUAAUUGAAAUGAACAAAAGACUGAAACUAAGCUUUCUUCAAAAAAAAAAAAAAAAAAUUUUUUUUUUUGUUAAAAUAUGAGCUUCGACCGCAAAUUUCACACUGCUUCCUCCUAAAUUAUAGGGCAUGCCACAAAAAUAAUGAUAAUUCUUCUAACACAUAUCAAAGCAAUUUCAUUCACGUACGAAUCAAAAAAAUAAAAAAAAGUAAAAUAAUGAGCCAAAAUCCCAAAUGAUAGAUCGCGCAGGUACCUGUGUGUGACUGUGAGUGUAAAUAAUUGAAAAAUCAUGCAACAAUAUCAAAUCAAACGAAUCAAAAUAUCAAAAUCAAAGAUCUCGACGAUCAUCUUCUUGUGCGCGGUGGUAAAUUUGACCACAACAAAAGGUAAUUCGUGUCAUCAUUAAAGCAUUUUUUUAUGUUUAAGAGUAUUCUUUAAUUCGCUCUAACGGACAAAGAGAGUGUAAAGUGAAGAAAAUUGGAAGAAUAACAACAACAACAAGAACAGGGGAGGAUCUCAUGCGAAACGAUGUUUCGUUUUGUUCGUGAACUUGUACUUCCUCAAAAAAAUGUACAUUCCGUAGAUGUACAAACGAAAAGAAGAAGACUUAAAUUGAAUUUUUCGUGUUUGUUGUUUUGGUCAAUGAAUGUUUGAUUUUAUCUGUAAAUUUUUAUUUAAUAAUUGUAAUCUUCCUCCGAUUAUUUUUCGUCUAAAAUUAGUUGUACUUAAAAAAAUUAAGAGUAUUUAAUAAUUAUUAUCGUACUUUUUACGUACUUAGCACGAAAUUAUUUUACUUAAAAAUAUUUAUUUCCUAUUUAAAAGACUCAAGAAAAAAAAUUCUCA